GAUGAACGCUGACAGAAUGCUUAACACAUGCAAGUCUUUGGCAAAUCUGUGCUUGCACAGCCUAGCCAAGGCGGACGGGUGAGUAACGCGUAAAGAACUUGCCCUGCAGACAGGGAUAACAGACGGAAACGACUGAUAAUACCUGAUACAAUUGCCAGCACGCAUGUGCCCGGCAAUGAAAAGUGAUGCUGCAGGAGAGCUUUGCGUCCUAUUAGCUUGUUGGUGAGGUAACGGCUCACCAAGGCGAUGAUAGGUAGCCGGCCUGAGAGGGUGAACGGCCACAAGGGGACUGAGAUACGGCCCUUACUCCUACGGGAGGCAGCAGUGGGGAAUAUUGGACAAUGGGGGCAACCCUGAUCCAGCAAUUCUGUGUGCACGAAGAAGGUUUUCGGAUUGUAAAGUGCUUUCAGCAGGGAAGAAGAAAGUGACGGUACCUGCAGAAGAAGCGACGGCUAAAUACGUGCCAGCAGCCGCGGUAAUACGUAUGUCGCAAGCGUUAUCCGGAAUUAUUGGGCAUAAAGGGCAUCUAGGCGGCCAGACAAGUCUGGGGUGAAAACUUGCGGCUCAACCGCAAGCCUGCCCUGGAAACUGUUUGGCUAGAGUGCUGGAGAGGUGGACGGAACUGCACGAGUAGAGGUGAAAUUCGUAGAUAUGUGCAGGAAUGCCGAUGAUGAAGAUAGUUCACUGGACGGUAACUGACGCUGAAGUGCGAAAGCUGGGGGAGCGAACAGG
rnacentral:rRNA from 1 species